rnacentral:rRNA from 1 species
GUCCCCUUCGGGGGACAGGGUGACAGGUGGUGCAUGGUUGUCGUCAGCUCGUGUCGUGAGAUGUUGGGUUAAGUCCCGCAACGAGCGCAACCCUCGACCUUAGUUGCCAGCAUUCAGUUGGGCACUCUAAGGUGACUGCCGGCUAAAAGUCGGAGGAAGGUGGGGAUGACGUCAAAUCAUCAUGCCCCUUAUGACCUGGGCUACACACGUGCUACAAUGGGCGGUACAAAGGGUCGCGAACCCGCGAGGGGGAGCCAAUCCCAAAAAGCCGCUCUCAGUUCGGAUUGCAGGCUGCAACUCGCCUGCAUGAAGCCGGAAUCGCUAGUAAUCGCGGAUCAGCAUGUCGCGGUGAAUACGUUCCCGGGCCCU